AGAGUUUGAUCCUGGCUCAGGAUGAACGCUAGCGACAGGCCUAACACAUGCAAGUCGAGGGGCAGCAUGGUGUCAGCUUGCUGAUACCGAUGGCGACCGGCGCACGGGUGAGUAACGCGUAUGUAAUCUACCUGUAACAGAGGGAUAACCCGGAGAAAUCCGGACUAAUACCUCAUAGCACAUAUUAUUCGCAUGAAUUUUAUGUUAAAGAGACUCGGUUACAGAUGAACAUGCGUUCCAUUAGCUAGUUGGCGGGGUAACGGCCCACCAAGGCGACGAUGGAUAGGGGUUCUGAGAGGAAGGUCCCCCACACUGGUACUGAGACACGGACCAGACUCCUACGGGAGGCAGCAGUGAGGAAUAUUGGUCAAUGGGCGGAAGCCUGAACCAGCCAAGUCGCGUGGAGGAAGACUGCCCUACGGGUUGUAAACUCCUUUUACCUGGGAAUAACGGGCGCUACGUGUAGCGCUGUGCAUGUACCGGGAGAAUAAGCAUCGGCUAAUUCCGUGCCAGCAGCCGCGGUAAUACGGAAGAUGCGAGCGUUAUCCGGAUUUAUUGGGUUUAAAGGGAGCGUAGGCGGGCAGUCAAGUCAGCGGUCAAAUGGCGCGGCUCAACCGCGUUCCGCCGUUGAAACUGGCAGCCUUGAGUAUGCACAGGGUACAUGGAAUUCGUGGUGUAGCGGUGAAAUGCUUAGAUAUCACGAGGAACUCCGAUCGCGCAGGCAUUGUACCGGGGCAUUACUGACGCUGAGGCUCGAAGGUGCGGGUAUCAAACAGGAUUAGAUACCCUGGUAGUCCGCACAGUAAACGAUGAAUGCCCGCUGUCGGCGACAUAGUGUCUAUCCAUGACAGCCAUUCCGGCAUGCUUUGCAAGACGUAUACGCUCUGAAUAUACAGCAGGGAUUGUUCCGUUUCCGCGAAGUCCCAUGCCGAGUGCCUCUGUAAGACAGUUCAUGGAGUUGGCUGUGUACAUUCCUGAGCAUGAACCGCAGGUAGGACAUACCUUGUUCUCAUACUCGCAUACAUCAUCCUCUGUCAUAGUACCUGCAGCGUAUGAGCCUACAGCCUCAAACAUUGAUGAAAGGCUUCUCUUUCUGCCCUUUACAUGGCCGGCAAGCAUUGGUCCGCCUGAUACA
rnacentral:rRNA from 1 species